AGCUUCGUCCUUGAACCUGGCGCUCCGUCCACCCAGGCGUUUUGCACAGCUGAAAGGUUGCCACAGAAGAUUCAAGAAUUUCUCAAGCAUGCAUGAAAGAAUCAAAGCAACACUCCAGGCGAGUUUUCUUUAGGGAAU